AGUUCGAUCCUGGCUCAGGAUGAACGCUAGCGACAGGCUUAACACAUGCAAGUCGAGGGGCAGCACAGGUAGCAAUACCGGGUGGCGACCGGCGCACGGGUGAGUAACGCGUAUGCAACUUGCCUAUCAGAGGGGGAUAACCCGGCGAAAGUCGGACUAAUACCGCAUGAAGCAGGGGCCCCGCAUGGGGAUAUUUGCUAAAGAUUCAUCGCUGAUAGAUAGGCAUGCGUUCCAUUAGGCAGUUGGCGGGGUAACGGCCCACCAAACCGACGAUGGAUAGGGGUUCUGAGAGGAAGGUCCCCCACAUUGGUACUGAGACACGGACCAAACUCCUACGGGAGGCAGCAGUGAGGAAUAUUGGUCAAUGGGCGUAAGCCUGAACCAGCCAAGUCGCGUGAGGGAUGAAGGUUCUAUGGAUCGUAAACCUCUUUUAUAAGGGAAUAAAGUGCGGGACGUGUCCCGUUUUGUAUGUACCUUAUGAAUAAGGAUCGGCUAACUCCGUGCCAGCAGCCGCGGUAAUACGGAGGAUCCGAGCGUUAUCCGGAUUUAUUGGGUUUAAAGGGUGCGUAGGCGGCCUUUUAAGUCAGCGGUGAAAGUCUGUGGCUCAACCAUAGAAUUGCCGUUGAAACUGGGGGGCUUGAGUAUGUUUGAGGCAGGCGGAAUGCGUGGUGUAGCGGUGAAAUGCUUAGAUAUCACGCAGAACCCCGAUUGCGAAGGCAGCCUGCCAAGCCAUGACUGACGCUGAUGCACGAAAGCGUGGGGAUCAAACAGGAUUAGAUACCCUGGUAGUCCACGCAGUAAACGAUGAUCACUAGCUGUUUGCGAUACAGUGUAAGCGGCACAGCGAAAGCGUUAAGUGAUCCACCUGGGGAGUACGCCGGCAACGGUGAAACUCAAAGGAAUUGACGGGGGCCCGCACAAGCGGAGGAACAUGUGGUUUAAUUCGAUGAUACGCGAGGAACCUUACCCGGGUUUGAACGCAUUCGGACCGAGGUGGAAACACCUUUUCUAGCAAUAGCCGUUUGCGAGGUGCUGCAUGGUUGUCGUCAGCUCGUGCCGUGAGGUGUCGGCUUAAGUGCCAUAACGAGCGCAACCCUUGCCACUAGUUACUAACAGGUAAAGCUGAGGACUCUGGUGGGACUGCCAGCGUAAGCUGCGAGGAAGGCGGGGAUGACGUCAAAUCAGCACGGCCCUUACAUCCGGGGCGACACACGUGUUACAAUGGCGUGGACAAAGGGAUGCCACCUGGCGACAGGGAGCGAAUCCCCAAACCACGUCUCAGUUCGGAUCGGAGUCUGCAACCCGACUCCGUGAAGCUGGAUUCGCUAGUAAUCGCGCAUCAGCCAUGGUGCGGUGAAUACGUUCCCGGGCCUUGUACACACCGCCCGUCAAGCCAUGGGAGCCGGGGGUACCUGAAGUCCGUAACCGCGAGGAUCGGCCUAGGGUAAAACUGGUGACUGGGGCUAAGUCGUAACAAGGUAUCC
rnacentral:rRNA from 1 species